rnacentral:rRNA from 1 species
GAUGAACGCUGGCUGCGUGCCUAAUACAUUCAAGUCGAGCGAAGCGGGGACGGGUUAGUAACACUUGGAUAACCUCCUAUAAGACUGGGAUAACUUCGGGAAACCGGAGCUAACCCGGACACUUAUACAUAGAUCCGCGCUGCAUUAGCUAGCUGGUAAGGUAACGGCUUACCAAGGCAACGAUGCCUAGCAGACCUGAGAGGGUGAUCGGCGACACUGGAAGUGAGGCACGGUCCAGACGAUUACGGGAGGCAGGAGUAGGGAAUCUUCCGCAAUGGGAGAAAGCCUGACGGAGCAACGCCGCGUGAGUAAUGAAGGUCUUCGGAUCGUAAAACUCUGUUAUUAGGGAAGCGGUACCUAAUCAGAAAACCACGGCUAACUACGUGACAGCAGCCGCGGUAAUAC